rnacentral:rRNA from 1 species
GACGAACGCUGGCGGCGUGCUUAACACAUGCAAGUCGAACGGAAAGGCCCUGCUUUUGUGGGGUGCUCGAGUGGCGAACGGGUGAGUAACACGUGAGUAACCUACCCUUGACUUUGGGAUAACUUCAGGAAACUGGGGCUAAUACCGGAUAGGAGCUCCUGCUGCAUGGUGGGGGUUGGAAAGUUUCGGCGGUUGGGGAUGGACUCGCGGCUUAUCAGCUUGUUGGUGGGGUAGUGGCUUACCAAGGCUUUGACGGGUAGCCGGCCUGAGAGGGUGACCGGCCACAUUGGGACUGAGAUACGGCCCAGACUCCUACGGGAGGCAGCAGUGGGGAAUAUUGCACAAUGGGCGGAAGCCUGAUGCAGCAACGCCGCGUGCGGGAUGAUGGCCUUCGGGUUGUAAACCGCUUUCGCCUGUGACGAAGCGUGAGUGACGGUAAUGGGUAAAGAAGCACCGGCUAACUACGU